rnacentral:rRNA from 1 species
GAUGAACGCUGGCGGCGUGCCUAAUACAUGCAAGUCGAACGCAUAGCGAAAGGUGCUUGCACCUUUCAAGUGAGUGGCGAACGGGUGAGUAACACGUGGACAACCUGCCUCAAGGCUGGGGAUAACAUUUGGAAACAGAUGCUAAUACCGAAUAAAACUUAGUGUCGCAUGACACAAAGUUAAAAGGCGCUUCGGCGUCACCUAGAGAUGGAUCCGCGGUGCAUUAGUUAGUUGGUGGGGUAAAGGCCUACCAAGACAAUGAUGCAUAGCCGAGUUGAGAGACUGAUCGGCCACAUUGGGACUGAGACACGGCCCAGACUCCUACGGGAGGCUGCAGUAGGGAAUCUUCCACAAUGGGCGAAAGCCUGAUGGAGCAACGCCGCGUGUGUGAUGAAGGCUUUCGGGUCGUAAAGCACUGUUGUAUGGGAAGAACAGCUGGAAUAGGAAAUGAUUUUAGUUUGACGGUACCAUACCAGAAAGGGACGGCUAAAUACGUG